AACUUAUUCUUUUUCUUCAUCAAAGUAGUAUUCUUAACCUCAUUAUCCAAAAUUUGUGUCAGAGAUGGGGGCAAGAAGACUUUCACAACAACGAGUUCUUUAAUCACAACAACCUCUGCCGCCCCGAGUCGAUUUUUAGCUUUCCUCUAUCGUAUUUGUCACUACCUCUAAAAGUUUUCUUGCCCCCACAUUUGACACAUAUUUUGAAUAAUGAGGUUAAGGAUACUACUUUGAUGGAGAAAAAGAAUAAGU
rnacentral:pre_miRNA from 1 species